GGAGAUGUAGCUCAGACCGGGAGAAUAUGAAAACUUCGGUUUUCAACUUACGAUUACAUCGUAAGCCCGCAAGCGCACGGCUGAAGACCGUGCUGUCGCGUGUUCAAACAAGGGGUACUUCGUCACCCUUGAACCCCACGACGGGUUGAGAAUCACGCCAUCUCCACCA
rnacentral:tRNA from 1 species